UGGGUUGUAAACUUCUUUUGUUUGGGAAGAAAUCUGGACAUUUAUGUGCAGUUGACGGUACCUUACGAAUAAGCACCGGCUAACUCCGUGCCAGCAGCCGCGGUAAUACGGAGGGUGCAAGCGUUAUCCGGAAUCACUGGGUUUAAAGGGUGCGUAGGCGGUUUGAUAAGUCAGAGGUGAAAGCUACCAGCUUAACUGUUAAAUUGCCUUUGAUACUGUCAGACUUGAAUCAUGUGGAGGUAGGCGGAAUGUGACAUGUAGCGGUGAAAUGCAUAGAUAUGACAUAGAACACCAAUUGCGUAGGCAGCUUGCUGGGCUUGAAUUGACGCUGAGGCACGAAAGCGUGGGGAUCAAACAGGAUUAGAUACCCUGGUAGUCCACGCCCUAAACGAUGUUAACUCGAUAUUUAUUCUUCGGAGUGAGUGUCCAAGCGAAAGCGUUAAGU
rnacentral:rRNA from 1 species